rnacentral:rRNA from 1 species
UACGGGGGGAGCAAGCGUUGUUCGGAUUUACUGGGCGUAAAGGGCGCGUAGGCGGCCUGUGCAAGUCAGUUGUGAAAUCUCCGGGCUUAACUCGGAACGGUCAACUGAUACUGCUCGGCUAGAGUGCGGAAGGGGCAACUGGAAUUCUUGGUGUAGCGGUGAAAUGCGUAGAUAUCAAGAGGAACACCUGCGGCGAAGGCGGGUUGCUGGGCCGACACUGACGCUGAAGUGCGAAAGCGUGGGGAGCAAACAGG